UGGGGAAUUGUUCGCAAUGGGCGAAAGCCUGACGACGCAACGCCGCGUGGAGGACGAAGAUCUUCGGGUCGUAAACUCCUGUCGAGCGGGAAGAAUAGUAUGGGGGUUAAUAGCUCCUAUGCCUGACGGUACCGCUAAAGGAAGCCCCGGCUAACUCCGUGCCAGCAGCCGCGGUAAUACGGGGGGGGCAAGCGUUGUUCAGAUUUACUGGGCGUAAAGGGCUCGUAGGCGGCUAGUUAAGUCGGACGUGAAAUCCCUCGGCUCAACCGAGGAACUGCGUCCGAUACUGAUUGGCUUGAAUCCGGGAGAGGGAUGCGGAAUUCCAGGUGUAGCGGUGAAAUGCGUAGAUAUCUGGAGGAACACCGGUGGCGAAGGCGGCAUCCUGGACCGGUAUUGACGCUGAGGAGCGAAAGCUAGGGUAGCAAACGGG
rnacentral:rRNA from 1 species